UGGGGAAUUUUGGACAAUGGGCGAAAGCCUGAUCCAGCAAUGCCGCGUGUGUGAAGAAGGCCUUCGGGUUGUAAAGCACUUUUGUCCGGAAAGAAAUCCUUGGCUCUAAUACAGUCGGGGGAUGACGGUACCGGAAGAAUAAGCACCGGCUAACUACGUGCCAGCAGCCGCGGUAAUACGUAGGGUGCAAGCGUUAAUCGGAAUUACUGGGCGUAAAGCGUGCGCAGGCGGUUUGCUAAGACCGAUGUGAAAUCCCCGGGCUCAACCUGGGAACUGCAUUGGUGACUGGCAGGCUAGAGUAUGGCAGAGGGGGGUAGAAUUCCACGUGUAGCAGUGAAAUGCGUAGAGAUGUGGAGGAAUACCGAUGGCGAAGGCAGCCCCCUGGGCCAAUACUGACGCUCAUGCACGAAAGCGUGGGGAGCAAACAGGAUUAGAUACCCUGGUAGUCCACGCCCUAAACGAUGUCAACUAGUUGUGGGAUUCAUUCUUAGUAACGUAGCUAACGCGUGAAGUUGACCGCCUGGGGAGUACGGUCGCAAGAUUAAAACUU
rnacentral:rRNA from 1 species